ACAGGACAAAAACUUGCUACUUUCAAAACAAGCUCUUCCUCUCAACAAGUCUGAAGGCCCUGGAUUUUCAAGAAGUAAGAAGACUGACCUCUCAGUUUUCCAGAAUGUCAAUUAGCAGUCCGGGAAGAAACAACUAAGGGGCCUUUGACUACAAUGGAAACUAUAGACUAGGUCAUUCUUAUCAGUGUUGGAAUAGAGGACAAACAUGGAAAAGAAAGAACAAAAGGUCUAAAACAAAGUUCAGAGCACAGAGAAAGAGGAGAGUUUACCAUAGGAAUAGGAACUGGUAUUACCGGAGGUUUAUACAUCAAACUACAGUAAUUACAAUUCUGCUAUAAAUACCUUGAAGAUGGGACACAGGCAGAAAACACCCAGCAAGAAUGGAACAGUGCAAGAAAUAUAGGACAGCUUUGGCAAAAUGCAUAAAAAGUGUUGUUUAAUAAAAGCAAUU